CCCUUAGAUGUUCUGGGCUGCACGCGUGCUACACUGAUAUUGCCAAUAUGUCAUUCUUAUCCGAAAUGGAUUGGGUAAUCAAGUAAUGAAAUUUCAUGCUUGGAAUCGGUAAUUGCAAUUUUAUCGUGAACGAGGAAUUCCUAGUAAGCACUAGUCGUCAGCUAAUGUUGAUUAUGUCCCUGCCCUUUGUACACACCGCCCGUCGCUACUACUGAUUGGGUGUUCAAGUGAGAUGCUUAGACCCUUGUUGCAUGGUCCAUUAUUGUGCUCCGAAAGGAAAAAGUUUCAAGCUUGAGUGUCUAGAGGAAGUAAAAGUCGUAACA
rnacentral:rRNA from 1 species